UACGGAGGGUGCGAGCGUUGUUCGGAAUUACUGGGCGUAAAGGGCGCGCAGGCGGCUCUGAAAGUCAGAUGUGAAAGCCCCGGGCUUAACCUGGGAAUUGCAUUUGAUACUCUGGAGCUUGAGUACGGGAGAGGAGAGUGGAAUUCCCAGUGUAGAGGUGAAAUUCGUAGAUAUUGGGAAGAACACCGGUGGCGAAGGCGGCUCUCUGGACCGUGACUGACGCUGAGGCGCGAAAGCGUGGGGAGCAAACAGG
rnacentral:rRNA from 1 species